rnacentral:rRNA from 1 species
UACGUAGGGCGCAAGCGUUGUCCGGAAUUAUUGGGCGUAAAGAGCUCGUAGGCGGUUUUGUCGCGUCUGCUGUGAAAAUCCAGGGCUUAACCCUGGACCUGCAGUGGGGUACGGGGCAGACUAGAGUGCGGUAGGGGAGAUCGGAAUUCCUGGUGUAGCGGUGAAAUGCGCAGAUAUCAGGAGGAACACCGGUGGCGAAGGCGGCAUCCUGGACCGGUAUUGACGCUGAUGCGCGAAAGCCAGGGGAGCAAACGGG